UUGUAGGCAGGGUCAGUGUCACUCAAAACCUCAAUAAAACCCUCAGUCAGUAUUUAUAGCUGCAGUUUAAUAUCUGAUUGUUUUACUGUACUGUAUACUUUGUUUUGGGGUGAAAAUGAAAAUGUUACAGUUUGGAGUUCUGUUGGUAAUCAUUUCAUAUGUUAGUGGUCAGUCAUUGACAUCCUCUGAUUCAGUGAUGAAGAAACCUGGAGAAUCGGUCAUUCUGUCCUGUACUGUGUCUGGAUUCUCUAUGAGCAGCUACUGGAUGCACUGGGUCCGUCAGAAACCACAGAAAGGACUGGAAUGGAUUGGAUAUAUAGAUGGUGGCACAAGUGCAUAUUAUGCUCAAUCUUUACAGGAUUGUUGGAGUCAGACACUGACUGAGUCAGAACCUGUUGUCCUUAAACCUGAAGGAUCUCAUAAACUGACCUGUACUGCCUCUGGCUUAAGCUUUAGUAGCUACUGGAUGGGUUGGAUCAGACAGGCUUCAGGAAAAGGACUGGAUUUUGUUGCUAUUAUUGAGGGUGACAGUGAUAGAAAGUUUUACUCCAGUGCUGUUCAAGGCAGAUUCACCGUCACCAGAGACAACAGUAAGAAUCAGGUGUAUCUGCAUAUGAGCAAACUGAAGAAUGAGGACACAGCCGUGUAUUACUGUGCCAGAAGACACAGUGACAAAAGAGACUCUGAUCCUGAUCAAAAACCUGUGUGCUUUACUUACUACAGUUUGAUAAGAAGAAAACAUGACUUUUGACCUUAGAGUAAUUUAAACUAAGUUCAAAUUUAGUCGUGAAGUUGGCUACAUUUCAAAUAAAUUAAGGUUUGAUCAAAUUAAAUGACAUAGUUAGCGUUGACUCCUGGGUUAAAUUAAGACUUUAAUAUUUAACUGUAUCUGUAAUGGAAACAAUCCAAAAGAGUGAUGCACUGUACAAGAUCUAUGUUUCGUAAAAACACAUUAUAAAAAGUGUUAAGUUCAUGAUCAUGUAAAACAGAAACUGUUGACGUUAUGUUUAAGGCCUCUAGAGGGCGCCGUAAGCAUUUAUAACCCACUUAUCUGUAUCAACACCUACAGACACCAUUGUGCUGCUUGUCACCUUAAUCAAUUUGAGAAUAAUA